GCGCACCAGGCGCGAAACCUCCGCAAUACACGAAAGUGUGACGGGCCAUCCCGAGUGCCGUCCGCUGAGGACGGCUUUCCCCAGUGUACACAGCUGGGGGAAUAAGGAGAGGGCAAGCCUGGCGUCAGCCGCCGCGGUAAUACCAGCUCUCCGAGUGGUGGGGACGCUUAUUGGGCCUAAAGCAUCCGUAGCCGGCUGGGCAAGUCCUCCGUUAAAUCCAACGAUUCAAUCGUUGGGCUGCGGGGGAUACUGUCCAGCUUGGGGGCGGGAGAGGCCGACGGUAUUCCCGGGGUAGGGGUGAAAUCCUAUAAUCCCGGGAGGACCACCAGUGGCGAAGGCUGUCGGCUAGAACGCGCCCGACGGUGAGGGAUGAAAGCUGGGGGAGCGAACCGGAUUAGAUACCCGGUAGU
rnacentral:rRNA from 1 species